GUGUCUCCUGCCUUGGCAAGCAGAUUCUUUAUCGCUGAGCCGUCAGGGAAGCCCGUUUUUGUCCCUUAGCACUAAUUUUUUUUUGAAAUUAAUACCACAUUUUGACUUGGAUAAUGGUGGUCUUUAUGUCUUAGAGGUGAAUUUUCCUUUGAAACUCUGCAAAGUGCUGUACACAGUAGGUGCUCCAUGGAUGUCAGAGUGAGUCAGAUUUGCUGCAGCUAAUUGAAAGUGAAAAAUAAUAAGCACUUCUGCUCAGAAGUGAAAGUGCAUUUGCUCCAUCUUCUACAUUUCUCAUAAGAUAUUCAAAGGGGGAAAAAACCCAAUAGCAGCAGUCCGUUUUGUGUAAUGUCGUGUGGGCAAACUUUCCAUAAACGGCCACACAGUAAAUAUGUUAGGAUUUGGGGAACAUACUGGUCUUUACUGCAUAUGUCAUUUUUUUUGUUUGUUUGUUUUUGAGGAACCGUCUACAGGUGUAAAAAUCAUUCUUACCUGGCAGGCUGUGCAUAAACAAGUGUAGUUGUAGUUCAUAAUGGAAAUUGGUGUUGGCCACUGGUUAGGGAAUGCUGGAAAUGACAUUUUUCCUCUCCUGUAAGAAUGGCCACCCGUACUGUGUCAUACUGUAGCCCCUGAUGUGAAGAGCCCACUCCUUGGAAAAGCCCCCAAUGCUGGGAAAGAUUGAGGGCAGGAGGAUAAGGGGACCACAGAGGAUGAGAUGGUUGGAAAGAAUCACUGACUCAAUGGACACGAGUUUGAACAAACUCUGGGAGAUGCUGAAAGACAGGGAAGCCUGGCAUAAUGCAGUCCAUGGGGUCACAAAGAGUCCAACAGAACUUAGCAACUGAGAGACAGCAACAUUGUGUCAUUGUGAUGGAAGCAAACAAGCAUAUGUCUACAUUGCAGAAAACUGCAAGCAAAGGCUUUGGAACCAUGCACCUGGCUUUAAACUCUGAAGCAAGUGAUCUCUUUGAGCUGCUAUUUCCUUACAGAGGAGUAGCUGUAAUUUAAGGGUAAAAUGAAAAGGGCAGGGCCAAGCCCAUAGGCUCUACCAUACAGUGAAGAGGCAUUCACAGUUUAUUGAUGGUGUCAUCUAGUUUGGAAAAUAGAUAAUAUCUCCAUCCAACUC
ensembl:lncRNA